UACGUAGGGGGCGAGCGUUGUCCGGAAUUAUUGGGCGUAAAGAGCUCGUAGGCGGCGUUUCAAGUCAGGUGUGAAAGCCGACGGCUUAACCGGAGGACUGCACUUGAUACUGGAGCGCUUGAGGUAGGCAGAGGAAGGUAGAAUUCCCGGUGUAGCGGUGAAAUGCGUAGAUAUCGGGAGGAAUACCAGUGGCGAAGGCGGCCUUCUGGGCCUUACCUGACGCUGAGGAGCGAAAGCUAGGGGAGCGAACGGG
rnacentral:rRNA from 1 species